rnacentral:rRNA from 1 species
GACGAACGCUGGCGGCGUGCUUAACACAUGCAAGUCGAACGGUCCUGUUUUUGAAGCGUUUCGGCGUGGAGGGGACGGGGCAGUGGCGCACGGGUGAGUAAUGCGCGAGGACCUGCCCGCGGGAGGGGGACAGCAGUUGGAAACGGCUGGUGAUACCCCGUAGGCCGGGAGGUAAAAGGGCGGAGACGCCCGCCUGCGGAUGGACUCGCGUCCUAUCAGCUAGUUGGUGAGGCAACGGCUCACCAAGGCGACGACGGGUAGCCGGCCUGAGAGGGUGGUCCGGCCACACUGGAACUGAGACACGGUCCAGACUCCUACGGGAGGCAGCAGUGGGGAAUUUUGGGCAAUGGGGGAGACCCGUGACCCAGCGACGCCGCGUGAGGGACGAAGGCCCUUGGGUCGUAAACCUCUUUGCAGGGGAAGAAGUGCGUGACGGUACCUUGCGAAUAAGUCCCGGCUAACUACGUG